UUUUUUUUUUUUUUUGGUUCUUUUUUUUUUCUGGUAAAAAAGAAAAACUUUGCAACCAGGUAAAAAAACACACGCACAUUUCCUAACAAACUAUGCAAUUGAUGUAGACAGACUAAAAGUGUCUUUUAAAUAAUUCUAGAAAAAGUAUCUUUUAAAUAAUUAUAAUGUUAACUCAUGACGUUGGUGAAUCAAUUUUCCAUAAAAUUUUGAGGGAAUUAGAUAAUUAAAUACACCAUUUGUCUUUACCUUGAUGAGUGCCUGCUGCAGCUGAUAAAUAAGGACUAAGGGUAUGUUUGUAUUUUGAUUAGGUAAUAUUCUUUUUUUUUUUCCUUUAUUAUAACUGGCGGAGGCACGGAGGGCAGGACCAUCGCCUCCUCAAAUCCUACAAAUUUAUGUUUUUCUCUCCUGUUAUUUAGACCAACCCAUGAGAAGGUAUCAUAAUAUAUUUGUAUGUACCAGUACUCAAAUGGUCCAUAAUAUUUGCGCAUUAUCCUCUUUUGGUCCCUCACACAAACAAUGACACAUUUUGACAUGACAUGUUUAAAAUAACAAGUAUGGUCCUCACCCGUUGUUGGCCAAUGUUGCCUGAAGUACUGAUGCGCACAUUUCGUGCUCGUAAAGUGAAAGGGAAAAAACAAAAAAAGAAAUGUGAUGAUGCAUAUUUUGUGCUCAUUUCUAACAACUUCUUUUUUUUUUUCAAUUUUUAUCAAUAAAAAAGGCAUGUAUGUGCUUUAUUACAUAUUUAUAAAGAUAUGACAUUUUCUUUUAGAAGAAAGAAUUAUAUUUGGCUAACUAGUUUACUGAAACACGAUCUCAGUAUGAGUGAUUAUAGAUACCAUCUGGUUUGUUGGGGACCAAGACCAAUUAUGUUAAACAUGAGGGGUUCAAAAAGGUACUAUGCAAAUAUGAAGCACCGUUUGUGCAAUGUUAAGACUACGACAAACCUGAAUGUUUAGCAUAGAAUUUUUUGUUGGUAAUUUGAUUUUAUGUUAGAAAAGAGUCAUUUGGACAGUGGUGUACAAAUUUAUCAAGUGUGGUAUUUAGUUGAUAUGCAAAUUUUUGUAGCUACUGUUGAUGUCAUUGUAUGGUAAAGUACCAUUAAGCAGUUAAGGGUUCUACAUCAUUCCUUUAUUUGGUGGGCAAACAUAGAAGCAACUCAUUCGUUCAAAUUUACUUUUUGUAACUGUCCAGCAAUACAACUAUUCAAUCUGAGCUCAUCAUAAGUUCAAAGUAGUGAAUCAGCCAAAAUAAUGUGGUGCAAUUAUAUAUUCUGUAGUGGUGGGAAAGUUAGAGCAAUGUAUAUGCUUACAGAAUAGCACAUAUUUGCAAGGAGAUUAUAGGAUCAGAACUUGUCAACUUUUUACUUCAUCGAAGACAUGGGUUAUCACAUAAAUUGUAAACAAUAAUUACCAAUUUAAAGGUCAAUCCUGUUAAAAGUUUUGUCGAAGAAGUGCAAGUUACUAUAAGUAAUUGUUGUAUUGAAUUCUAGCCAAAGGUAUUCUUGUCAAGUUGGUUAGGAAAAAAAACUUUUGGUGCUCUGUUAAAGUCAGGGGUCUCCAAAAAUUUUAUUAUCAUUACUAAAUCGAGGUAGCGUUUCAGUUGCAAGUGCAAUUACAGAGGACCAAUUUACAGCUCAAACCAGACCGCAAAAAUAAACAAACCUAUUUUUUAAUCAUCAUAGUUCACAUACAAGCCAUAACGAGAAAAACCUAAGAUAAGUUGAUCUCGAUCAAGACAAAUACCGGUUCUCCGUUCUUAAGGAAGAAAAACAUUCAAGAGCACUUCCUUUACAUCGUAUGGCAGGAUCAAAAAAAGCACGAUAUGAUACGUUUUUGCCAAACUAUACAGUAGUAAUUUCAAUGAGAAGAACUAAAAAGAGUAAAUUUAUACAAUCCCCGUAGUUUCGUUUAUUGCCACAUUAUUCUCCUAACGUUUCAAAAUAUUUACUUCAUCUCCUAUGAUUUUAUGUAAAAUAAAAACUUGAUAGAAAAUUUUCGUUUAUCGCCACAUUAUUCUCCUAACGUUUCAAAAUAUUUACUUCAUCUCCUAUGAUUUUAUGUAAAAUAAAAACUUGAUAGAAAAUAUCCUAUGUGACGUCGUUAAUUGAAAUGCCAAUAGUAUUCUUACUUGAAUGUUAAACCAAUCAACCGUUUAACUAUCUUAUAUAAAAACAUAAAAAAAUUACUUGAAUAAAUACAAAAAUUACAAGAACAUAAAAUGAAUAUUUGUACAAAUCAUAGGAGGAUUACAUGAAGAUUCAGGUACGUGUUUUUGAUAUAAAAGCCAUAACUAAUUGUACAUUCUGUUCAAUUUCCACUUUACAAAAAACAAUGGGAGUUAUGUAGCUAUUUUGAAACCUCAAGGGAGUCAUCUGACAUUAUUAAAAUCACAAGGGGGUUAUAAGUAAUUUACUUAAAUAAAAAAUCUUCAAACGUGAAAGCUGCUAUACGGUAUGACUUGCACCAUCGGUAGAGCCUGGCUCCAAUCCAACUCCAACAGCACAAUGCCCUCCACCCCCAAUAAACGUUUAAAACUUUAAGGGAAGCGGGAGUAAAUAAAGAAAAUACGAUAAUCCACGGAGAAUUUAUACCGCAAAGAGGGCCAAGUUCGGAAAUCUCUUUUCUUCUGGAUGCAUAUAUUAUCUGUUGCAUGAAGAAAGACUAAAAGGUAAAAUUUGCCCUGAUUAUAUCACCAGGACCAAGACUACACAAAUCGUAAACAUGGCAACGGUGGAAUUUGAACCUUAAACUCCAAGGAAUCAUCCCAUCUGAUCCGUCAAGAAAAAGGUAAAAGAAACUAGCAUUUUCUAGAGCUAACUGAAAGUAAAAACAUAUAAAA
rnacentral:lncRNA from 1 species